UGGCUCAGUUGGUGGAGCGUGAGGCUCUUGAUCUCGGGGUCAUGGGUUUGAGCCCCAU
rnacentral:tRNA from 1 species